rnacentral:lncRNA from 1 species
GUUUAUAAUCCUGAAUUAAAAAAAAAUUCAUAAACUUUAUAAAUAUAAUAAUGCUCCAAACCUUGUUGACUGAAGGUAUUUAUGAAAAUUGAAAACGCUUCUUGCCGUUUCCCAGAUUCAAUUAUGAUAACGGGAAAUAUUUCUUGUUAUCAUUUAAUGGAUUGCACUUAAUGCUCUUCUUACAUUACUUUUAAGAAUCAUAUUUACAUUAUCUGCCCUUGCCAUUUCGCCCUUAUUAUUUAAUACGCCAUUACUUACACCCUUAAUUCAUUAAAACAUGAUCCCGCGAAAGUCGGGUAAUAAUAUGACAACAUCCAACAUUAUUAUCUGAGAGCGUGAAAGAUGGCGGGGGCGUUCUAUUAAAAUGCGCCUGUUUAAACUUGUUGUCAUUUAUAAGGCUUUGUGUUAUCCCCCGAUAUUUUAAAAUCCGGUAACUACAUCGUCAAUCUUCAUAGCCGUCGGGCGAACCUAAUAUGUCACGGAGGUGUGCCGUAAUGCUCUAUUUUUCCUCGACAACCUCCAUAUUGGCUAAAGCAAAAUUAAGCGAUAGGAUAUUGAUUUCGCAGUGAAUUUGAUAAAUGCAGGAAGUGGAAGAUUAAUGUAUGUUAUACUUACGUUGCGUUAGCUACUGAAACAAUUUGAAACUUAACAGAUUUGUUCUACAUACAUUAAGACAAUGUCGAAAAGCGUAUCUCUUCCUCUUCCACAAUAGUAUUCUGUGAUCCACCCAGUCAAAAGCCUCCACACAGCCUUGGAUAUGUCACAGAAGACUGCUGCAGCAACUUCACCGAAGUUAAGAGUACUAUAAAGAAAUUGAAGAAAAUUAUGAAAUCCAAAGUUUAUGAAUGUUAAAUCUCUUCAAAAAAGAUAUCAUUCUCACCUUCACCAAUCUUAGAUAUGGUAGGGAGAGAAGUAGUUGGUCUAAAGUUAUAAGGAUGACUGCAGUUUCCUCCUUAUGAACAGGAACAAUAAUUGAUUUUUUAAGGUAAUCGGGAAAUGUAUUUGAAGUGAAAAAAUCAUUGAAUGAAUCUACAAUUCCUGAAGGGAAGGAGUUUGGAGACAAUAGAGUAAUCUGCUAACCCCAGAGGUUCAUCUUGCUUAAACCAAUGUCCUGCAAGGAUUCCAAUAUUUGGGAAUCCCAGAGAAUCCAUAAAUAACUAAUUUACCUUAUUUAUAACAAACUGAAUAUUCAAUAAGAUUAAACUGGUGGAGCCUCCUUUGGACCUUCAUCUAAAAAACUGCCACUCUCGCAAUCAAUUACAGUGCUGAGGUUCUCUAUAUUUACAGGUUCGUCAAUUACGUGAGCGUCAAAAUUAAAAUUGGUUGGUAUUGAUUUUAUCACAAUCCUCUUGGAGACAAUAUUAUUGCACUUCACAUAAAAGGGCAACAUGCAUAGAGUGGCGAAAUAUAUUAUAAGUGGAAACCAUUUCUUACUGUUAUUAAGUUAUGAGAAGGAUGUUAAAACCGCACCUUCAUCGUAGCGGUAUAACAUGAUUAGAAAUCAUUAGAAAUAGGGAGACAAAGGAGAAUCAUAAGGUAACCGCGAAAAUAAUCAAAAAAUAAAGAGCAACCGGCAAUUUUCAUAAAUAAAACAUUAAAGCAAUAGCUUAAGGAAGCCAAGUAACAAUUUUAAGGCACUCUUUGGGUUUUAUAUCGGAGACCAUAAACCCGCUCGGGUGUCUUUUUUUUUACAUUCGGAUUUAAGCCGCGCCACGAGGUUACUGCAAUAAUGCGAGAGCACUUCGUGCUUUACCUUUUUCCAUUAUUCAUUCGUUUGGGUGGCGGAAUCGCAACAAAUAUUUAAAUGGUCUAGUUUCCAUUGUUAAAGGGAAUAUCUUCGGCCGUACGGUACGUAUUCAAAUUCGCCGCAUCUGGUUAACCACCUACGGAAUAUAUGACCCCUUGGUUGCCUCGAAUAGCCAGCCGAGGAUGCUCCUCCUUGCGGGGAUCCGAUAUUCUUAUCUUCUAUGAUUCAUGGUUUCCCAGAGAAUCCAUUUAUUCAAUCCAGAGUGAUUCCUAGAGUGUUGCUUGAAACUGAAGGUAUUUAAGUAUUUCCAAGUCCAAGAUUUUAUUUUCUUGUUUGUAGGCUCGCUUCAAGAAUUUUACCUCCAAGUUGUCAAACUCUGUUAAACCAUGCUCCAAAGACCUAGUAUAGAAAAAGCGAUUCUUUGAAUUAAAAUUCAAUUACUUAUGCAGGGUAUGUUUAAUUAACCAGAACAGAACUGUUAAUAUGAAACAAUCUUCCACUACAUAAACUAUUUCAUUCAAAAAAACAUGACUAAACGGUCAUAAAAUAUCACCUCAUUCAUAACCAUAUUAUACUCAUUUACUCCAAGAACAGUUUCAUAAUAUAAAAGUUUCGGGGUCUUAUACCUGUCCGGCUUCCAUCUAAAAUCUCAGGUAAAUCUUUAUUCAAGCCCCCUGAAGAAAUUUAUUAGCUUCUGUGACAACUGCGACUAACAUGGUUAUAAAUUAUUUAAUCUUGUAUGUUGAGGGCAGGUAUAAAAAAAAUCUUUAUUUCAGCGCUUGUUAUGCCGUCUGUCAUGAGUCCGUUUUUUUCACUUCAGCGUCUUGCACAUUUUUUCGUCCAUACAAGCGAUUCCUAAUGGCGUAAAUAAGUGUUUAUGGUUUGAUGUACGGCUAGUUCACCUGAAUCGCGAUAACUUAUUAAAAAGUUGCUUCAUGAAAGAAUCAUGUAACAUCAAUCAGGUGUCACUCAUGAGUUCUCAGAACCACUCAUUUUUUAUAAACCUCCUAUUAAUAAUUAUAAUAUAUUUUAUAAGAGAAACCAAAUGUUUACAAAGUAUAGUUUGAUCGCGCGUGCCUUAUCCCGGUUUUUAUAAGUUUUUCUAUCUGUACUCGUGCAUGGGCUAUUAAACCAUUGUCCGAUAAACUUUUUACUGAUUUUUUUUUAUCAGAAAC